GUCUUUGUAGCUUAGCGGUCAAGCGCUCCUUCAAAGUACCGACUUGCAGUUCUUUAAAGGAGAGACGAGAGUUCCAGCCCCGCUAGAGACA